rnacentral:rRNA from 1 species
UGCCAGCAGCCGCGGUAAUACGGAGGAUCCAAGCGUUGUCCGGAUUUAUUGGGUUUAAAGGGUGCGUAGGCGGACUAAUAAGUCAGUGGUGAAAGCCUGUAGCUUAACUACAGAAUUGCCAUUGAAACUGUUAGUCUUGAGUUUGGUCGAGGUGGAUGGAAUGUAUCAUGUAGCGGUGAAAUGCUUAGAUAUGAUACAGAACACCGAUUGCGAAGGCAGUUCACUAGGCCAAUACUGACGCUGAGGCACGAAAGCAUGGGGAUCGAACAGGAUUAGAUA